rnacentral:rRNA from 1 species
UACGGAGGGUGCAAGCGUUAUCCGGAUUCAUUGGGCUUAAAGGGCGCGUAGGCGGGUUGGCAAGUCCGGGGUGAAAUCCCCAAGCUUAACUUGGGAACUGCCGUGGAUACUAUCAAUCUUGAAUAUCGUGGAGGUAAGCGGAAUAUGUCAUGUAGCGGUGAAAUGCUUAGAUAUGACAUAGAACACCAAUUGCGUAGGCAGCUUACUACACGAUCAUUGACGCUGAGGCACGAAAGCGUGGGGAGCAAACAGG